rnacentral:ncRNA from 1 species
GAGUAGGCGCACAUGCGUUAAGUAUCGGAUGGACGGGGAGUUGUCAUCCGGGCGAAAAGCUUGUCUUGCGAUGUGUGUGCCGCAUCCCGCUGC